CCCCACCCCAAACUUCUUCAUUCUGUAUCCUGAGAAGAACUGGGAUCUCCCACACUGUUAGAGGAUGCUCUUCACAAAGGCAUCUCUGAGCAUGGCACCCCCUGGUGUUGUGCAGCUGCCUGUGACAGCCCAGUGUACUCUACAACCAGCCCCAGUCUUCCUUCCCCCACCACUUCCAAACUCAGAGGACGGGCCACCCCAGAGAAGAGCCAGCAUUUGGGUAACUUACAACCCAUCUGUUGGAACUCACAGCCUUGUUAAUCUCAUACACUGAUCAGCCGUGUUCUCAGCACCAAGUGUUGCCGGGGUCUACAAAGCAGUGAGAAGACACACAAAUGCAGGUUUAAACGCACAUGGGAAGGAUCUUGUCGAGAAGGAAGACAUGAACUUGAGCAGGUGGAAUCCUUCUCUCUGAG
ensembl:lncRNA